UUAAAACUUUGAUUGGAAAAA
ensembl:piRNA 21ur-12148 ncRNA